CGGAACGUAGCGCAGCCUGGUAGCGCAUCUGCUUUGGGAGCAGAGGGUCGCGAGUUCGAAUCUCGCCGUUCCGACCA
rnacentral:tRNA from 1 species